rnacentral:rRNA from 1 species
CAGUAGCCGCGGUAAUACGUAGGUCCCGAGCGUUGUCCGGAUUUAUUGGGCGUAAAGGGAGCGCAGGCGGUCAGGAAAGUCUGGAGUAAAAGGCUAUGGCUCAGCCAUAGUGUGCUCUGGAAACUGUCUGACUUGAGUGCAGAAGGGGAGAGUGGAAUUCCAUGUGUAGCGGUGAAAUGCGUAGAUAUAUGGAGGAACACCGGUGGCGAAAGCGGCUCUCUGGUCUGUCACUGACGCUGAGGCUCGAAAGCGUGGGUAGCGAACAGGAUUAGAUACCCCAGUAGUCCCUGUCUCUUAUACA